rnacentral:rRNA from 1 species
GGAAUAUUGCACAAUGGGCGCAAGCCUGAUGCAGCGAUGCCGCGUGAGGGAAGAAGGUUUUCGGAUUGUAAACCUCUGUUGACAGGGACGAUAAUGACGGUACCUGUUCAGAAAGCUCCGGCUAACUGCGUGCCAGCAGCCGCGGUAAUACGUAGGGAGCGAGCGUUGUCCGGAAUUACUGGGUGUAAAGGGAGUGCAGGCGGGACUGCAAGUCAGAUGUGAAAUUUAGGGGCUCAACCCCUCAAACUGCAUUUGAAACUGUGGUUCUUGAGUGAAGUAGAGGUAAGCGGAAUUCCUAGUGUAGCGGUGAAAUGCGUAGAUAUUAGGAGGAACAUCAGAGGCGAAGGCGGCUUACUGGGCUUUAACUGACGCUGAGGCUCGAAAGCGUGGGGAGCAAACA